UACGUAGGGUGCGAGCGUUGUCCGGAAUUACUGGGCGUAAAGAGCUCGUAGGUGGUUUGUCGCGUUGUUCGUGAAAACUCACAGCUUAACUGUGGGCGUGCGGGCGAUACGGGCAGACUGGAGUACUGCAGGGGAGACUGGAAUUCCUGGUGUAGCAGUGAAAUGCGUAGAUAUCAUAAGGAACACCGGUGGCGAAGGCGGUUACCUGGAAGAUUCCUGACUCUGAAACACGAAAGCCAGGGGAGCAAACGGG
rnacentral:rRNA from 1 species